rnacentral:rRNA from 1 species
GAUGAACGCUGGCGGCGUGCCUAAUACAUGCAAGUCGAGCGAAUGGAUUAAGAGCUUGCUCUUAUGAAGUUAGCGGCGGACGGGUGAGUAACACGUGGGUAACCUGCCCAUAAGACUGGGAUAACUCCGGGAAACCGGGGCUAAUACCGGAUAACAUUUUGAACCGCAUGGUUCGAAAUUGAAAGGCGGCUUCGGCUGUCACUUAUGGAUGGACCCGCGUCGCAUUAGCUAGUUGGUGAGGUAACGGCUCACUAAGGCAACGAUGCGUAGCCGACCUGAGAGGGUGAUCGGCCACACUGGGACUGAGACACGGCCCAGACUCCUACGGGAGGCAGCAGUAGGGAAUCUUCCGCAAUGGACGAAAAUCUGACGGAGCAACGCCGCGUGAGUGAUGAAGGCUUUCGGGUCGUAAAACUCUGUUGUUAGGGAAGAACAAGUGCUAGUUGAAUAAGCUGGCACCUUGACGGUACCUAACCAGAAAGCCACGGCUAACUACGUGCCAGCCGCCGCGGUAA